rnacentral:lncRNA from 1 species
AAAAUUUAAUUUUGAUGUAGAAAAGAAGAAACCGAAGUCCGUUAUAAAUCAUCGAAUAACAAAACCAACUCCAACGAAAUCACCUUCAUAUUUCCUUUCUUUUUCUUUUAUUCUCGUAUUAAAUUAUUUUUUUAAUUUCUAUUUAUGCAAUAAUUUUUAUUUUUCUAGUUCUUUCUUUUCGUUUUUUCUUUGUCCUCUACUGAAUUAUAUUCUCAUUCUAAUUUUUCUUAAUAUAUUUUUUAUAUUAUUAACCAAUCAUAUUUUUAAUUUUUUAUAUUUAAUUUAUAAAUUUUUAUUAUAAUGUC